GGGCUGGUCAGUGUUUUUUCAUUACUGCCUGAGCCUGGACUUGCUGAGUCCCAUCUGCUGUUAAGCCCGGGUCUCACAGUUAAUACAAAGUGAGAGUACCCUUGGGUACUUGGUUAUUGCUGUGAAGGAUGUGGCCACAGCAACCUCCAUUGUCUCAUCACUCUACCUCUAACCACUGCUGGCUGUCCCAUCUCUCUCCUGGGUUAAGGAGUGGUCAGUCUCCAUUAUUUCCACUACAGUGGGAGUUGGAGUAGCUCCGAAGUCCAAGUCCACCCACGGACGACACCUUGUAUGGCUGGACCAGGCCACAGUAUAGAAGAGCGUUGACUUACACUCAACAAUACAGAAGAGAAGAACACGUUGGCAAUGGCAAAGCAGAAAUGUGAAAUGAAACUGGAACUUGGUUUACUUCCUGGAGCAGAAUCAUCUGAACCUGCCACUAAUCUCCAGACUAUGAUGAGAGAGAAAAUAUAUAUACUCUUUCCAUGUAUAACACUGUGUUUUUAAUUUUGUUUUUUUAUAAUAGCUGACCUUAUACAGCAAUUAAUAUGUUAGCAGUUUAAUUUUUAUACAAAUGUAGUUAUUUAUCUUUUCAUAUAUAAAGAGGCUUCAUACUGGGCACCUUUUUUCAUGAUUUUUAUUGGGACAAAAUAACAACAGAGAGCUUUGUCCAGA